rnacentral:rRNA from 1 species
GUUGUAUGGUUAAGUGACUAAGCGUACACGGUGGAUGCCUGGGCAGUCAGAGGCGAUGAAGGACGUACUAACUUGCGAUAAGCGCAGAUAAGGCAGUAAGAGCCGUUUGAGUCUGCGAUUUCCGAAUGGGGAAACCCAACUGCAUAAGCAGUUACUGUUAACUGAAUACAUAGGUUAACAGAGCAAACCGGGGGAACUGAAACAUCUAAGUACCCCGAGGAGAAGAAAUCAACCGAGAUUCCGGUAGUAGCGGCGAGCGAACCUGGAUUAGCCCUUAAGCACUCGGUGAAGUAGGUGAACAAGCUGGAAAGCUUGGCGAUACAGGGUGAUAGCCCCGUAACCGACGCUUCAUCGAGCGUGAAAUCGAGUAGGGCGGGACACGUGAUAUCCUGUCUGAAUAUGGGGGGACCAUCCUCCAAGGCUAAAUACUCCUGACUGACCGAUAGUGAACCAGUACCGUGAGGGAAAGGCGAAAAGAACCCCUGUGAGGGGAGUGAAAUAGAACCUGAAACCGUGUACGUACAAGCAGUAGGAGCACCUUCGUGGUGUGACUGCGUACCUUUUGUAUAAUGGGUCAGCGACUUAUAUUCAGUGGCAAGGUUAACCGUAUAGGGGAGCCGUAGCGAAAGCGAGUCUUAACUGGGCGCUCAGUCUCUGGAUAUAGACCCGAAACCGGGUGAUCUAGCCAUGGGCAGGUUGAAGGUUGAGUAACAUCAACUGGAGGACCGAACCGACUAAUGUUGAAAAAUUAGCGGAUGACUUGUGGCUAGGGGUGAAAGGCCAAUCAAACUCGGAGAUAGCUGGUUCUCCCCGAAAGCUAUUUAGGUAGCGCCUCGGACGAAUACUACUGGGGGUAGAGCACUGUUAAGGCUAGGGGGUCAUCCCGACUUACCAACCCUUUGCAAACUCCGAAUACCAGUAAGUACUAUCCGGGAGACACACGGCGGGUGCUAACGUCCGUCGUGGAGAGGGAAACAACCCAGACCGCCAGCUAAGGUCCCAAAGUAUUGCUAAGUGGGAAACGAUGUGGGAAGGCUCAGACAGCUAGGAUGUUGGCUUAGAAGCAGCCAUCAUUUAAAGAAAGCGUAAUAGCUCACUAGUCGAGUCGGCCUGCGCGGAAGAUGUAACGGGGCUAAGCAAUACACCGAAGCUGCGGCAAUGUCUUUUAGACAUUGGGUAGGGGAGCGUUCUGUAAGCCGUUGAAGGUGAAUCGUAAGGUUUGCUGGAGGUAUCAGAAGUGCGAAUGCUGACAUGAGUAACGACAAAGGGGGUGAAAAACCUCCUCGCCGGAAGACCAAGGGUUCCUGUCCAACGUUAAUCGGGGCAGGGUGAGUCGACCCCUAAGGUGAGGCCGAAAGGCGUAAUCGAUGGGAAACGGGUUAAUAUUCCCGUACUUCUGACUAUUGCGAUGGGGGGACGGAGAAGGCUAGGUGGGCCAGGCGACGGUUGUCCUGGUUCAAGUGCGUAGGCUUGAGAGUUAGGUAAAUCCGGCUCUCUCUAAGGCUGAGACACGACGUCGAGCUACUACGGUAGUGAAGUCAUUGAUGCCAUGCUUCCAGGAAAAGCCUCUAAGCUUCAGAUAGUCAGGAAUCGUACCCCAAACCGACACAGGUGGUCGGGUAGAGAAUACCAAGGCGCUUGAGAGAACUCGGGUGAAGGAACUAGGCAAAAUGGUACCGUAACUUCGGGAGAAGGUACGCUCUUGAUGGUGAAGUCCCUCGCGGAUGGAGCUGACGAGAGUCGCAGAUACCAGGUGGCUGCAACUGUUUAUUAAAAACACAGCACUGUGCAAAAUCGCAAGAUGACGUAUACGGUGUGACGCCUGCCCGGUGCCGGAAGGUUAAUUGAUGGGGUUAGCGCAAGCGAAGCUCUUGAUCGAAGCCCCGGUAAACGGCGGCCGUAACUAUAACGGUCCUAAGGUAGCGAAAUUCCUUGUCGGGUAAGUUCCGACCUGCACGA